GAUCCCGUUUGGUAUAUUUCUCAGAUUCGACCGCAGCUCCCAUUUCCAAAACAAAACCCGACUCGAUUACUCUCUUCAACCUGAAGAAAAUCUCAAAUACGAACCCUAGCCCUAAGCCACCAAUCUGACUUGGAGUUCAGUCCUCUACAUCAUUGAUGCGUUUGGUCUCCAGUUCGUUCGUCGUCCUCGCACUAUCCUCUACUCUUCUCGCUAGGGUUUCAAUUUCGUCGCCGAACAGCCACAGGAUCGGUUCCUAUUUAUUGAAAUUUUGUGAGUUCUUCAACCUCUAGAAAAUCUCCAAUCCUAACCCUAACUCACCAAUCUAAAACGGAGUUCAGAAUAACCUUUAUGCUUUUAGUCGUUAAUUCGUUCUUGGAUGCAAGAAAGAAGACAACGAAGACUUGGGAGAUGAAAAGUCGUGCUCAGAGAACGACCUUCGCAUGAUGAGAAGCACAUGCUUAUUCAUUACGUAGCUGCCAGGGAAUCCGAAUAUCUACAGGUUGGCGAUGUGGUUUUGUUCGUGUGCAAUUCCUCAGUUGACUGCGGCGGAUCGAGACAAUUGGCAGGGUGCAGUGCACAUUGGUACUCAGUCGGAAUGACCCUUAAAGGGUUGAGUUUGCUUCGGAUUAGUUCUCAGUGUGUUAUCACUUCUCACUGUCUUGCAAUGAAGAGGUGAAGCCUUUAAAUAGGCUGAAGCACCCGUGAUGUUCGGUUAGUUCCAAGCACCCGUAAUACAUAUUAUAGGACUUGUAUAGUAUAAGAAGCAAGAACGUUAGGUAAUUAAAUGUGAUUAGAUUUUUCUAGCAGAUCAAUGAAAUGCUUGCCAGAAGAAUAAAUAUGAAUUUUCUUAUAUUUUAGUUGCUUAAACCCAUUUUUAUCAACUCGUAAUAUAUAUAAAAAAUUGCGACUAGUUUAGACCAUCCAUGAAUUUCGAAAAAGUUAAUAAUUGGACGCCACAAUUUGUUUACAAAUUCCAUUUGGAUGUACUCAUGCGCCUUUAAAUGGGCCAAUUGUGUCGCUUAUUGCUCCUACGUGGGCCCACUUUGUCUUUUUUGGACUCUUUUGUGGACUUAUUUUGUCGUUUAUGGCCUUAUGUUGGGCCUAUUUUGUCGUUUAUAGCCUAUAUUGGGCUAAUUUUCUUCUAUGGAAAUUUCUUUGGGCUUGUAUCGUUUACUGGUUCAGAUUGGGCUUUUUUGUCUUUUAUGAACCCUUAAUUGGGUAU